CCUACGGGAGGCAGCAGUGAGGAAUAUUGGUCAAUGGGCGGGAGCCUGAACCAGCCAAGUCGCGUGAGGGACGACGGUCCUAUGGAUUGUAAACCUCUUUUGUGCGGGAGCAAUAAUGGUCACGUGUGGCCAGUCGAGAGUACCGUACGAAUAAGCAUCGGCUAACUCCGUGCCAGCAGCCGCGGUACUACGGGGGAUGCAAGCGUUAUCCGGAUUUAUUGGGUUUAAAGGGUGCGUAGGCUGGGAGGUAAGUCAGCGGUGAAAUGCCCACGCUCAACGGGGUGAAGUGCCAGUGAUACUGCCUUGCUGGAAGGCGGAUGCCGUGGGAGGAAUGUGUGGUGUAGCGGUGAAAUGCAUAGAUAUCACACAGAACACCGAUUGCGAAGGCAUCUCACGAAUCCGCGAUUGACGCUGAUGCACGAAAGCGUGGGUAUCAAACAGGAUUAGAUACCCGAGUAGUC
rnacentral:rRNA from 1 species